rnacentral:rRNA from 1 species
AUUGAACGCUGGCGGCAGGCCUAACACAUGCAAGUCGAACGAGUGGCGGACGGGUGAGUAAUGUCUGGGAAACUGCCUGAUGGAGGGGGAUAACUACUGGAAACGGUCGCUAAUACCGCAUACCAUCGGGUGUGCCCAUAUGGGUUGAGCUAGUAGGUGGGGUAAAGGAUCACCUAGGCGACGAUCCCUAGCUGGUCUGAGAGGAUGACCAGCCACACUGGAACGGAGAAACGGUCCAGACUCCGACGGGAGGCAGCAGUGGGGAAUAUUGCACAAUGGGCGCAAGCCUGAUGCAGCCAUGCCGCGUGUAUGAAGAAGGCCUUCGGGUUGUAAAGUACUUUCAGCGGGGAGGCGUUACCGACAGAAGAAGCACCGGCUAACUCCGUGCCAGCCACCGCGGUAAUUC